UCACAUUUUAGUCAAUUAACUCAAUCUGUUAUUUGUGGCUUUUUUCAUUCCAGACUGGACCCUUGGACUCCUUGAACCCUGGACACUUGGACACCUGGACCCUACGACACCUGGGACCUUGGACCCUCAGACGCCUGGCACACUGGACACCUGGGACCUGUCCUCUUAUUUUUUGCACCACAGACACGUCACUUUUUUUAUCUUUUCUUUUUCUGGAGGGUGGGGACAAUGACUGGACCCUUGGACACCUGGAAUCUCUGGACCCUCAGACACCUGGCACACUGGACACCUGGACCCUCAGACGCCUGGAACCCUGGACACUUGGACACCUGGGACCUUGGACCCUCAGACGCCUGGAACACUGGACACUUAUACACCUGUAACCCUGCACACUUGGACACCUGGACCCUCAGACGCCUGGAACACUGGACACUUAUACACCUGGAACCCUGGACACUGACACUUUGACACCUGAACCCUACGACACCUGGGUCCUUGGAUCAUCAGACACUGGACACAUGCACAAACACCUUUUAAUAAACCUUUUAAAUGUUU